UGGCCGGCCGCGCAGGAUCGCCCCGUCCCAUGGUCCCGCACAUGGCUUGGGGUCGGCGCGCACGGAUCCGCCUGCGGAGCAUGGGCCUGGCGCGGCUUCGGCAGCCCCCGCUGCCCAGGGAUGGCCACUACCCAUGCCUCUCUGCCUGGCCUCGCUCCAGCCCCGGCCAGCGCGACCGCCUCCACGCGCGACCUACCCUCCUCGCCCACCACCUGCUCGACGAGUUGCCUCCCCUUCCCCAAACCACUUGCGUGUGCACUCGCAGAACAAGACAAGGCGCACAUGAAUCGCAAGUUGCUGCUUCUCUCGAUCAGCUUUGAUGGAGGUUACCAGAGUUUGUGCCUGCCAAGGUGUUGGAUGUUGGUGCCAAGCCAAGCUCAUCGCUUUGGUAAGCAUGUCAUGAUUUACAUAUGUUAGUACUGAAUACCAAUUUGCAUAAGCUUAAUAUGCUAUGAGAAUGCAGGGCCUAAUUGGAUUGCUAUUCUAAGCUAUUGUCAAAGAUGUUGGGCAGCUACGGCCUCAACAUCGUAACAUACACUAUAUGGCAAGCGACCUUUCACCUUUGGUAUCGAUGCUGCCACAUAUGAUGUUUAAUAAACUGCUCUGUUCUGUCAAAUGGCAGAACCGUUAGCCAUGAAUUUGCCCUGUUGAUAAACUUUGAUGUUCCAUUACUACAACAGCCUUGCUUCUCUAUGUGCAGAGUGAGAUGCUGUAUGUGCAGAGUGAGAUGCUGCAGGAGUUCAAAUAUUUUGAAGUUCAAGUGGCAAGUGCAGAGCUCGCAGGUAUUGUUCAAAGCUAAACAGUGACCAAAUAUUUUGAAGUUCAAGUGGCAAGUGCAGAGCUCGCAGGUAUUAGUAGUUGCUGAAUUUUCAUUGAAACUCAACCGGGAGCUUGUGUGUCCCACAUAAACUGUUGCUGGCUUUCCAUUGAGCUUGAUUGCAUAACUUUAUUUACCAUUAUUUCUGCUGAAGACACUUAAUAUUGGUUUCUCUCUGGAUUGUUUUAUAAUGUUCCAUUUCAGCACUACUGUAUUAAAGGUUUAUGCAACCCUGUUUAUUGAUGCUGUUCAUUUCCAAGAUAGGCCCUCAAAGUUUUUUUUUCAACGCCUCAAGCCUUCAAGUACAAGCUGUGGGAAUGGGGAUUAUGGGUUCAUACGAUCACUUGACUCCCAUUUAAAUUUCUUUUUUUUCGUUUGUCAGGUAUCAGAAUAUGACGGGUUGCUAUAUCUCGAUCAUUUGGCUGCCUUAAUUUAUACUGCAUCUGGUACAUUUUUUAUUGCUUAUUAACACUAGGCCUUUUCUCAUGAGAUAAGGCCAGUGACAUGAGUUUACCUAUAAAAAAUUAUCCACAUAUCGCCAAGUGACAUUGUUAGUUCAGGCAUAUCAUAUUUACUACCUAUCUUGCAUCAGUUACUGCACUCUUUCUUGAAUCAGCAUACAUCCAUCUGCAAUGUCAGUGUCGAAACUCUGUAAGGCUUCCAGCCAUUUUGUGGAAGUAUUUUCUUUUUUUUCCCUUCCACUGCUGCUUCUAGGAGGAGAAGAAGAAGUCUCAUUCGCUUCUAAAGUGAUUCGAUCAGAGAGUCUGCAAGAACCAGUGCUAUAGCUCUAGAAACAAAAUUCAUAUUGGUCUCAACCAUACUAACUGGAGUAUAUCUGCAAACCUUUGGCUUGCUAAUGAGAUUCAAGGGUCCAUUCAUGGUGGACAGCCUCAGCUUUGGUUGCCCAGGUCUUGAAAGCUUAGGUUUUAUCAUGUUGCACAGUUGGUCCAUUCAAUAUAUAGACUGGUCAUGCCCUAAACCCUGAUUUCUUUUCUCUCCUUGCUUUACAGUGGGACAUUGCCUCUUCGAAUAAGGACCAUAUUGGAGCUAUUCUAUUCCUCUGGGAGCACCAAAUCAUUCCUGCUGAAAUAGAAGAUGAAUGAAGAAUGAAUAAUCCACCCACCUUUCAUGGCUUUGCAUACUCUAGAGAAACUUCAGAUGAUGACGACCCCAAUGACGCCUACUAUUAUGCAGCCCCUCAAGUAACACGGCAAGACAUCGAGACGACCUGCCCAUGUCAAGCAAGUAGAAAAAAAACAAUGUCAUUCCCAAGACCCCAACUCAUCUUCUGUUUCUGCGUCUCUAUGUAUGCAUGUUUGUAUAACUAUGAACGUGUGUAUAUCAGAUAUCUGCAACUGAGCUCGCAUGUCAAUGAAAAUAAUGUAGAAAUUGUUAAUUUAUACUA